GCAGAGCGAACCGUUAAACUGAAUAUAUCAGAGUGGCUCCACUGAAGCUUCGUGAGCAUUAUGCGAGCAUGAAAAAGGCAUAGUUCUAUUGAGGAUCACACAGGUACUGAGAAAAUAUUAAUCAAGGCAAAGGAACUGACACACAGUCUACAUCAGUUCUUUUCGAACGGAGCCAUUCUUGGCACUUAUUUGCAAGAGAAGUGCCCAAACUUCGUUCAACGGGUUCGGAAGUCAGAUUUUGUAAAAUAAUAAUAUUCUCUCUCUGACGUCACUGUUCAUAUUUUUCAAAUGUGGAAACCACUGAAGUGGCGCAGGGGGUUAAUGUCCAUGGCUGAAAUUCUAAGGAGCGCCGACAAGAAAACACAUUGACUAAACUUUUUCAUAUAAGUGUAUUUUUAUUAAUGUCAUCAUGUCUAUUAGUUGGUUCGUAUGUAUUGUAUUUUAUUUCUAUCGCGUUUACCCCAACCACAAGAAAUUGUACAUUUGCUUUCAUCACAAUAGCAAGCUUUAGUUAAUAUAAUUAUAAGGUAACAACAAAAAAGGAAUGAAACAAAAUAAGCAACAAAAUACAUACAUACACAAUUAGCCAAUUGAUUAAAUGCAUUUAAUAAAAAAAAAAAAAAAAUUGUAAUUGUCUAAGAAAAAUGAGUGUUGUAAUGCAGUGCAAUGAAUCAAUAAUUAAAGCGUUUAGCAUUUAUAGCAAAACGUUGUUCCCUCAUACAAUUACACACUACGUUUUCGUUUACAGUACAUACAUAUGUAUAUUAUAUGUGCCUUAAUUAUGAUAUAUCGAGUUAAUAAUAAAUAUGCGUACAAUAUAUUUUGCAUAAAAUUAUAGAUAUAUAUAUAUUAUGAUUAAAUAAUACGAUGUAAUAUAUAUGGUAAAUAACUACCGCCACAAAAUUAUGUUACAAAUGAGAAUGUAUAUAUUUUUUUUAUUAUUUGUUUGCCUUAAUUUUUGUCUCGCUUCAAAAUUUUCCAUUUUUUUUUUAUUUUUAUUUUUACAAUAGAUUUAGUUAUCCAACCAAUGUGAAAACUGGAAAACAUACACAUAUUAACAUAUAAGUAUUUACGUAGUUUGUACAAAUGGCGAACUGAUAAGGGUUGUGUCUUUUCUGCAUUUUUUUUUUCACAUUUUAAAUUAGUUCUUGCCAACGUUUUUUGUUUCUAUUUUUAGACUUCCAUGGAAAGUAUUUGCUUUCAAAUAUCACCAAAACAAUUGUAUAUAUGUAUGUAUGUAUGUUUUCUUUAUUUAUCAUUACGACGAUACCAACACUCCACGAUUGCAGCUGGACACUGACUUUAAUUACAACUUUGUAGCAGCAUAUGGGAGAGUGCAAAGAAAAACAUUGCCAGCAAAAAAAA